GGUGCCAAACAGGAGAUUUUCUGAUAAAAUAUUUGGGAAUACCAUUACAUUAUAGCACUCUCAAAUCUCAAGAAUGUAAUUUCUUGAUAGAAAAAGUCGAGAAGAAGCUUGCAGGAUCGAAGAGGAGAAUUUCAUUAAUUGCUGGGUGCCUGGUACUCAUUAAUUCUAUUCUCAGAUCUAUACCAAUAUACUGGAUGGUAGUCUUACAUAUUUUGGUGAACAUCAUACAAAAAUAGAUAGGUUAUGCAGAGCCUUCUUGUGGGAUGACAUGAAUACAGG
rnacentral:lncRNA from 1 species